AUACUUUGAUCACAAUAACCUCCGGGGACGUUCCUUAUAAAGCCUUCAGAAAUUCUCCUAUAAAAUAUUGGCAUCUUGCAUACAACAACAUCACCAUGAUUUCCUCCAAAAUUGAGCAUUUUCCACACAUCUACAGUCUCGAUAUUAGACACAACAGAUUGAAGAGUGUAAGCCAGAAGUUAUCUGUUUU